rnacentral:rRNA from 1 species
AACGAACGUUAGCGGCGCGCUUAACACAUGCAAGUCGAGCGAGAAAGGGGCAACCCCGGUAAAGCGGCGCACGGGUGAGUAACACGUAGGUAAUCUACCUCCAAGUGGUGGAUAACCUUCCGAAAGGAGGGCUAAUACAGCAUGAGACCACGAACUCGAAAGGGUUUGAGGUCAAAGUCGGCCUCUUCAUGAAAGCUGACGCUAGGAGAUGAGCCUGCGGCCCAUCACGGUAGUUGGUAGGGUAANGGCCUACCAA